UACCUUCUUGUCAAUGGGCAAAGGGAUACUUGGUUGGUGAUCUUGUUCUUAUAUCAGUCAGGGGCAGAACAGAUGGUAGUCCUUUGCUUACCCUACCUUGAUGGCUGGCUUAGUGGUCAAUGCUGUCUUAUGUUUAAGACUCAUAA